GGCUGAAUGAAUUAAGAAUGUGUAUUAAGGUUGCCUUGGUAACUGGUCUCAAGUCUCCACCACUGAAGUCAGAAUCAAUGCUAGUGACUCUGUUGAAAGCAGGGCUUCUCAACCCCAGGGCCAGAUCUGGUACUGGUCCCCGGUCUGCUGUGACCCUGGACCAAAUAAUAGAAGGUAAGCAGGCAAAGCUUCCCAUCGCCCCAUCACCGCCUGCUGUAAGAGCUUCAGGACAUCAGGUUCUCACGGGAGCGUGGACCGCUCUGGGACCUGCACAUGCAAAGAAGAGGCUGGACGAAGCAUGA
rnacentral:lncRNA from 1 species